rnacentral:lncRNA from 1 species
UGUGGCUGUCUGCUUUCCAGGGGAUGUGCUGAACUGUCAGAAAUGGAAUGAGGCACACAGAAGUUACCAAAACUGACUUCCUAAGAGCUGACUUAGGAGAAGAGAAUCUAAUAAUGUGAGUCCCUUGAAAUGCCUCAGGU